rnacentral:rRNA from 1 species
GAUCAUGGCUCAAGAUGAACGCUAGCGACAGGCCUAACACAUGCAAGUCGAGGGGCAGCGGGGAGGUAGCAAUACCUUUGCCGGCGACCGGCGCACGGGUGAGUAACACGUAUGCAAUCCACCUGUAACAGGGGGAUAACCCGGAGAAAUCCGGACUAAUACCCCAUAAUAUGGGCGCUCCGCAUGGAGAGUCCAUUAAAGAGAGCAAUCUUGGUUACAGACGAGCAUGCGCU